GUAUGUACCCCCCCCCCCCCCACCCCCCAUAUCCCAUUCUGUACCAACAUGAGCUCCCAUCACUAAUAACGGUCUCUGAACUGAAAGUAAGUAUACAAAUAUCAAUAAAAUGAAAACAUCUGGCUGACGCUGCUGUGAGGAAACGACAUCUUAGGGAUCCAGUCACACCGGAAGCCAGCCCACCCAUGACCACAGAGGGCGCUCCCACAGGAACCACCCAGGUCAGGGCAGGCCAGGGUCCACACCACAGCCACCCAGACAAGGGCAGUCACCAUGGCAACAACCCCACAGACACAGCAGGCAGAGCCACCUGUGUGAAGGAUCCCCUGGAGGAAAGGAAUGAUCUCAAUUCAGAAUAAAAAUAUUUUUUGUAAAAAUUAACCUAAUUUAAAAAACAUAUAUGUUCAUUUGUUAAUUCCUAACCGUGUUUUGUUUGUUUGUUUGUUUUUUCCUAAUUCAGGAAAAUAAUUUGAAUUUAAGAUGCUACAUCAAACAAACCAGAGGAGACUGUCCUCCAUCUGCAGGCACCAACAGUUCGCAGAAUAAAAACAUCUCUGGUCAUCCUCAGACUGAAGUGACAAAGUUCCAACCAAAGCGCUGCUCAGGAGGAGUCCGAGACUCUGCAGAUGAACUGAAGGCUGGUGCAGAACCUGUUUCUGUCCUGAAUGUCCACACCUCCGUCAUGUCUUCUGCUGCACUCAACGAUCAGCAUAAACCCACAGAAAAGACGGUUUCCAUCUGUAACUACCUGAUCACUGUGGGAAAUCAGACCGAUUUAAACAGGUCUUGACUGAUCAGGUGAUGAAAGUACAGUAGAAGCAACGAGGGAAUCCUUCAGACAUCAACACACCGAGCAGAACGAGUGAGGGAUGCCGUUAAGAUGUCCAGCAACUGACCUGUGACAUGCAGCAGCUCAGAGGAGCCAAACUUGACCUCACUAAGAGAACAGAAGGUUCUCUGCAGGUUUAUGUGCUGCAGCAGGAGAUGAUGAAAAGAGGAAAAUGGUUCUUAUUGUCAUGCUGUUUCUCAUAUUGAUUGUUAUUUUCAUUUUAACCAAUGGAGUUACAGGUUCCACGUGAACAGCAGCAGGUCUUCAUGUUUGAAGGCUGAACGAUAAAAGAAAAAUUUAUUGAGGAAACUCGACUCAGACUCUUAGCCCUCGUCUACAUGAACAGAAACACCUGUGGGAUCGCAGGUAAAUUCAGACUCAUGAUAUGUGUGUCAGUUUUACUCGGAGAGUUGAGGAAGUUGUGAUGUUGUCAUAUCUGUUUUGGUUUUGUACAGUUUGUUGAAAUUUUAAAGAAUCUUUCAAUUUACAUUGACUUUUCAGUAUUUGAAUAAAAAUAAUCCACAGG